rnacentral:rRNA from 1 species
AUAGCGUAUAUUAAAGUUGUUGCAGUUAAAAAGCUCGUAGUUGAAUUUUAGGCCUGGUUGGACGGUCUGCUCUAGGGUUUGUACUGUCCUGACCGGGCCUUACCUUCUGGUGAGCUGUCGUGUUGUUUACUCAGCGCGGCAGGGAACCAGGACUUUUACUUUGAAAAAAUUAGAGUGUUUAAAGCAGGCAUUCGCUUGAAUACAUUAGCAUGGAAUAAUAGAAUAGGACUUUGGUUCUAUUUUGUUGGUUUCUAGGACCGAAGUAAUGAUUAAUAGGGACAGUCGGGGGCAUCAGUAUUCGAUUGUCAGAGGUGAAAUUCUUGGAUUUAU